rnacentral:rRNA from 1 species
AGUGAACGCUGGCGGUAGGCCUAACACAUGCAAGUCGAACGGCAGCACAGUAAGAGCUUGCUCUUACGGGUGGCGAGUGGCGGACGGGUGAGGAAUACAUCGGAAUCUACUUUUUCGUGGGGGAUAACGUAGGGAAACUUACGCUAAUACCGCAUACGACCUACGGGUGAAAGCAGGGGAUCUUCGGACCUUGCGCGAUUGAAUGAGCCGAUGUCGGAUUAGCUAGUUGGCGGGGUAAAGGCCCACCAAGGCGACGAUCCGUAGCUGGUCUGAGAGGAUGAUCAGCCACACUGGAACUGAGACACGGUCCAGACUCCUACGGGAGGCAGCAGUGGGGAAUAUUGGACAAUGGGCGCAAGCCUGAUCCAGCCAUACCGCGUGGGUGAAGAAGGCCUUCGGGUUGUAAAGCCCUUUUGUUGGGAAAGAAAAGCAGCAGGUUAAUACCCCUGUUCUGACGGUACCCAAAGAAUAAGCACCGGCUAACUUCGUG